rnacentral:rRNA from 1 species
GAUGAACGCUAGCUACAGGCUUAACACAUGCAAGUCGAGGGGAAACGAUAUUGGAAGCUUGCUUCUGAUAGGCGUCGACCGGCGCACGGGUGAGUAACGCGUAUCCAACCUUCCGUACACUCAGGGAUAGCCUUUCGAAAGAAAGAUUAAUACCUGAUGGUAUGAUGAGAUUGCAUGAUAGCAUCAUUAAAGAUUUAUCGGUGUACGAUGGGGAUGCGUUCCAUUAGGUAGUAGGCGGGGUAACGGCCCACCUAGCCGACGAUGGAUAGGGGUUCUGAGAGGAAGGCCCCCCACAUUUGGAACUGAGACACGGUCCAAACUCCUACGGGAGGCAGCAGUGAGGAAUAUUGGUCAAUGGACGAGAGUCUGAACCAGCCAAGUAGCGUGAAGGAUGAAGGUCCUUAACGGAUUGUAAAACUUCUUUUANAAGGGAUAAAACCUCCCAGUGU